rnacentral:rRNA from 1 species
UACGUAGGGAGCAAGCGUUGUCCGGAAUCAUUGGGCGUAAAGCGCGCGUAGGUGGCCCCGUAAGUCCGCUGUGAAAGUCAAAGGCUCAACCUUUGAAAGCCGGUGGAUACUGUGGGACUAGAGUACGGAAGAGGCGAGUGGAAUUCCUGGUGUAGCGGUGGAAUGCGCAGAUAUCAGGAGGAACACCAAUAGCGAAGGCAGCUCGCUGGGACGUUACUGACACUGAGGCGCGAAAGCGUGGGGAUCAAACAGG